UUAAAUUUAUUGCUGAUUAAAGGCACCCAUAUGCACAAAACAGCACAUGUGACUGUAGUGCAGGCUUCCCCAUGCUGCCCCACCCAUGUGCCUCAAUCUUGACCUCCUCUAGACAAGAGAAUGUAGCUUAGUUUCUGUAUCUUUUAGUUCUUUGACCUU
rnacentral:sRNA from 1 species